AAGUCGUAACAAGGUAACCGUAGGUGAACCUGCGGUUGGAUCAUUAUUAAAUGAUAGCCAGUUCUCUUUGCUUCGGCAGAGAUUGAGCAGGCAUUAACCCUUUGUGAACUGUAAUUGUACUUGGGUACACUACUCUUCGGAGGACGGUACCCGACAUUUAUAAACCCCCUAUAUGUUUAACUGAAUGUGAUCUAAGAGAAACAACUUUUGACAAUGGAUCUCUUGGCUCUC
rnacentral:misc_RNA from 1 species